rnacentral:tRNA from 1 species
AGAGGGAUAGCUCCAACAGGUUAGAGCAUUCGUUUCAUACGCGAACGCGUGUCGGUUCGAUUCCGACUCCCUCUA